CCUACGGGUGGCUGCAGUGGGGAAUUUUGGACAAUGGGCGCAAGCCUGAUCCAGCCAUGCCGCGUGUGUGAAGAAGGCCUUCGGGUUGUAAAGCACUUUCGGCCGGAACGAAAUCGCGCGGGCGAACAUCCCGCGUGGAUGACGGUACCGGAAGAAGAAGCACCGGCUAACUACGUGCCAGCAGCCGCGGUAAUACGUAGGGUGCGAGCGUUAAUCGGAAUGACCGGGCGUAACCCGGGAGCUCAGGCCCGAAAUCCCCGGGCUGAACCUGGGAAUGGCGCUUGAAACUACGGGGCUGGAGUAUGGCAGAGGGAGGUGGAAUUCCACGUGUAGCGGUGAAAUGCGUAGAGAUGUGGAGGAACACCGAUGGCGAAGGCAGCCUCCUGGGCCAAUACUGACGCUCAUGCACGAAAGCGUGGGGAGCAAACAGGAUUAGAUACCCGAGUAGUC
rnacentral:rRNA from 1 species